rnacentral:tRNA from 1 species
CGGUAUAGCUCAGUUGGUAGAGCAACUGAUUUGUAAUCAGUAGGUCCCGAGUUCGAAUCUUGGUGCCG